rnacentral:tRNA from 1 species
GAUGCAAUGACAGAAUGGUUAUUGUGGAAGAUUGUAAAUUUUCUCACGUAAGUGAUUGUAGGUUCGAUUCCUUCUUGCAUCA